rnacentral:rRNA from 1 species
CUGGCGACCGGCGCACGGGUGAGUAACACGUAUCCAACCUGCCGAUAACUCGGGGAUAGCCUUUCGAAAGAAAGAUUAAUACCCGAUGGCAUAAUUAGACCGCAUGGUCUUAUUAUUAAAGAAUUUCGGUUAUCGAUGGGGAUGCGUUCCAUUAGGCAGUUGGUGAGGUGACGGCUCACCAAACCUUCGAUGGAUAGGGGUUCUGAGAGGAAGGUCCCCCACAUUGGAACUGAGACACGGUCCAA